UCCGGUGGCUAUAGCGGAGGGGACCCACCCGUUCCCAUCCCGAACACGGAAGUUAAGCCCUCCAGCGCCGAUGGUACUGCGCCGUGAAGCGUGGGAGAGUAGGUCGCUGCCGGAA
rnacentral:rRNA from 1 species